rnacentral:rRNA from 1 species
UACGUAGGGGGCAAGCGUUGUCCGGAUUUAUUGGGCGUAAAGAGCGUGUAGGCGGCCGUACAGGUCAGCUGUGAAAACUCGAGGCUCAACCUCGAGACGUCGGUUGAAACCGUACGGCUAGAGUCCGGAAGAGGAGAGUGGAAUUCCCGGUGUAGCGGAGAAAUGCGCAGAUAUCGGGAAGAACACCCGUGGCGAAAGCGGCUCUCUGGAACGGUACUGACGCUGAGACGCGAAAGCGUGGGGAGCGAACAGG